AAUGUGAAUUAGGAAAAUUAACUGGUUUUGUGGUUUGUUGGCUGUUUGGCCAUUUCAGGUUUCGCAAUUUGAUGGUUUUUUCUUUUUUUGGUUGAAGAGUUUGAUUUUCCAGGUCAUGACCUGGCGUGGUGACAAGUUCUCAUCCAGUUAGCGCCAUGGCGCUGGUUCAACCCACCGGAAUCAGCCUCUCCACAAAAUGGCAGGGGUAAGUCUGACUAACUGCUAGCUCUGUCAAAUCCUAUUGUACAGCGGGAGUCUUAUGCACGGCCUUUUCUUUUUGUACAGUUACUUGAUAUUGUGCACAGCACGCCUACAUGGAUGCAUACAUACACUACAAUUUGGAAAAUCUUUGUUUUGGAUGUAAUUAGGAAACUACUUUUAGUGCACACACAGAGAGUAAGUUUUAAUAUAAGGUAAUUAUUAAUAA